rnacentral:rRNA from 1 species
CCUACGGGGCGCAGCAGUGAGGAAUAUUGGUCAAUGGGCGAGAGCCUGAACCAGCCAAGUCGCGUGAGGGAGUACUGCCCUAUGGGUUGUAAACCUCUUUUGUCGGGGAGCAAAAGCCGGACGUGUCCGGCUGUGAGAGUACCCGAAGAAAAAGCAUCGGCUAACUCCGUGCCAGCAGCCGCGGUAAUACGGAGGAUGCGAGCGUUAUCCGGAUUUAUUGGGUUUAAAGGGUGCGCAGGCGGAUUUUUAAGUCAGCGGUAAAAUCGUGGGGCUCAACCCCAUCCAGCCGUUGAAACUGGGGAUCUAGAGUGUGCGAGAGGUAUGCGGAAUGCGUGGUGUAGCGGUGAAAUGCAUAGAUAUCACGCAGAACCCCGAUUGCGAAGGCAGCAUACCGGUGCACAACUGACGCUCAGGCACGAAAGCGUGGGUAUCGAACAGGAUUAGAUACCCCUGUAGUC